GACGAACGCUGGCGGCGUGCUUAACACAUGCAAGUCGAACGGAAAGGCCCUGCUUUUGUGGGGUGCUCGAGUGGCGAACGGGUGAGUAACACGUGAGUAACCUGCCCUUGACUUUGGGAUAACUUCAGGAAACUGGGGCUAAUACCGGAUAGGAGCUCCUGCUGCAUGGUGGGGGUUGGAAAGUUUCGGCGGUUGGGGAUGGACUCGCGGCUUAUCAGCUUGUUGGUGGGGUAGUGGCUUACCAAGGCUUUGACGGGUAGCCGGCCUGAGAGGGUGACCAGCCACAUUGGGACUGAGAUACGGCCCAGACUCCUACGGGAGGCAGCGGUGGGGAAUAUUGCACAAUGGGCGGAAGCCUGAUGCAGCAACGCCGCGUGCGGGAUGACGGCCUUCGGGUUGUAAACCGCUUUCGCCUGUGACGAAGCGUGAGUGACGGUAAUGGGUAAAGAAGCACCGGCUAACUACGUG
rnacentral:rRNA from 1 species